rnacentral:sRNA from 1 species
GAACCAGGAGCCCGAAGGCAGGGGUCUGGCCCUCCAGAAGAUGGGUCAAGAGGAAGAGAGCCCUCCAAGAGAGGAGAGGCCCCAGCAGAGUCCAAAGGAGAAGGAUUUGGGGAGGCUGAGACCUCAAGACCUGCUUGACUUUGCACCCUAUCCCCAGGCAUCUCCGGGACUGCUGGCAGCUGCCUUACAACAGAGCCAGGAACUGGCAAAGUUGGGUACCAGCUUUGCUCAGAAUGGUUUCUACCAUGAGGCCGUGGUCCUCUUCACCCAGGCCUUGAAGCUCAACCCCCAGGACCACCGGUAGGUGGGGGCUUGGCCAGGGCAGGGCAGAGUGUUGAGGACUCAGACCUUUGGCCACCUUCUGUCUUUAUCAGGUUAUUUGGAAAUCGUUCCUUCUGCCAUGAGCGGUUGGGUCAGCCAGCGUGGGCCCUGGCUGAUGCCCAGGUGGCCCUUACCCUACGGCCUGGCUGGCCCCGGGGCCUCUUCCGCCUGGGCAAGGCCUUGAUGGGACUACAGCGCUUCAGAGAGGCAGCUGCUGUGUUUCAGGAAACUCUGAGAGAUGGGUCCCAGCCUGACGCAGCCCGAGAGCUCCGCUCUUGCCUUCUCCACCUCACACUGGUAAGGGGGCCAGGCACACUGUCAUGCUGAGGCGGGUAUCAGGGAGAAUUGGCUGGGACUGCAAUA